UACGGGGGGGGCAAGCGUUGUUCGGAAUUACUGGGCGUAAAGGGCGCGCAGGCGGCCCUUGAAGUCAGGCGUGAAAGCCCCGGGCUCAACCUGGGAGGUGCGCUUGAUACUCGAGGGCUUGAGUGCGGGAGAGGAGAGUGGAAUUCCCAGUGUAGAGGUGAAAUGCGCAGAUAUCAGGAGGAACACCAAUGGCGAAGGCAGCUCGCUGGGACGUGACUGACGCUGAGACGCGAAAGCGUGGGGAGCAAACGGG
rnacentral:rRNA from 1 species